rnacentral:rRNA from 1 species
AGAGUUUGAUCAUGGCUCAGGAUGAACGCUGGCGGCGUGCUUAACACAUGCAAGUCGAACGAUGAUGGGAGCUUGCUCCUGGAUUAGUGGCGAACGGGUGAGUAACACGUGAGUAACCUGCCCUUAACUCUGGGAUAAGCCUGGGAAACUGGGUCUAAUACCGGAUAUGACUCCUCAUCGCAUGGUGGGGGGUGGAAAGCUUUAUUGUGGUUUUGGAUGGACUCGCGGCCUAUCAGCUUGUUGGUGAGGUAAUGGCUUACCAAGGCGACGACGGGUAGCCGGCCUGAGAGGGUGACCGGCCACACUGGGACUGAGACACGGCCCAGACUCCUACGGGAGGCAGCAGUGGGGAAUAUUGCACAAUGGGCGCAAGCCUGAUGCAGCGACGCCGCGUGAGGGAUGACGGCCCUCGGGUUGUAAACCUCUUUCAGUAGGGAAGAAGCGAAAGUGACGGUACCUGCAGAAGAAGCGCCGGCUAACUACGUGCCAGCAGCCGCGGUAAUACGUAGGGCGCAAGCGUUAUCCGGAAUUAUUGGGCGUAAAGAGCUCGUAGGCGGUUUGUCGCGUCUGCCGUGAAAGUCCGGGGCUCAACUCCGGAUCUGCGGUGGGUACGGGCAGGCUAGAGUGAUGUAGGGGAGACUGGAAUUCCUGGUGUAGCGGUGAAAUGCGCAGAUAUCAGGAGGAACACCGAUGGCGAAGGCAGGUCUCUGGGCAUUAACUGACGCUGAGGAGCGAAAGCAUGGGGAGCGAACAGGAUUAGGUACCCUGGUAGUCCAUGCCGUAAACGUUGGGCACUAGGUGUGGGGGACAUUCCACGUUUUCCGCGCCGUAGCUAACGCAUUAAGUGCCCCGCCUGGGGAGUACGGCCGCAAGGCUAAAACUCAAAUGAAUUGACGG